UACAGAGGUCCCAAGCGUUGUUCGGAUUCAUUGGGCGUAAAGGGUGUGUAGGCGGCGCCGUAAGUCAGGUGUGAAAUCUCGGGGCUUAACUCCGAAACUGCAUUUGAUGCUGCGGUGCUUGAGGACUGGAGAGGAGACUGGAAUUUACGGUGUAGCGGUGAAAUGCGUAGAUAUCGUAAGGAAGACCAGUGGCGAAGGCGGGUCUCUGGACAGUUCCUGACGCUGAGGCACGAAGGCCAGGGGAGCAAACGGG
rnacentral:rRNA from 1 species